CCGCGGUGCUGAAACGGCGCGGUCCGACGAGGGAGGAGGGAAGGGCUCGGCCUGGGCAAGGGGCGGGCUCUCCGGAGCCGUGGGCUGGAAACCGGGAGGGGGCAGGGCGGUACCAGCCGGCUCCAGACCCUGGUCGGCUUCGGAGCGGGCAAUAGAGGAGACAGGGCCGGCUAGAGCGGACUCAGGCAUUUGUCAAGCCUCCCUUGACGAAGCCAAGGAUGCCCUUGUGCUGUUAAGCCUCUUUCCCUCUGCCUUGAAGGGACCUGCCCCUUCUGUCCCGUCCUCAGGCUCCUCCCCAACCUGCCUGAGGAGUGACCCACUUCUGGGCCUUCACCUACAAAGCCAGGCAGUUGCAGCUCACAGGCCUCCAGCCCAGGGCCUGCUGCUCUCACCAUGGUGAAGUUGCUGCCUGCCCAGGAGGCGGCUAAGAUCUACCAUACCAACUAUGUGCGGAACUCGCGGGCCGUGGGUGUGAUGUGGGGCACGCUCACCAUCUGCUUCUCUGUGCUGGUCAUGGCCCUCUUCAUCCAGCCAUACUGGAUCGGGGACAGCGUCAACACACCUCAGGCAGGCUACUUUGGGCUUUUCUCCUACUGCGUGGGCAACGUGCUGUCCUCCGAGCUCAUCUGCAAGGGUGGUCCCCUGGAUUUCUCCUCCAUCCCCUCCAGAGCCUUCAAGACUGCCAUGUUCUUCGUGGCCCUGGGCAUGUUCCUCAUCAUUGGCUCUAUCAUCUGCUUCAGCCUGUUCUUCGUCUGCAACACCGCCACUGUCUACAAGAUCUGUGCAUGGAUGCAGCUGGCUGCAGCUACAGGCCUAAUGAUUGGCUGCCUGGUCUACCCAGACGGUUGGGACUCAAGUGAGGUGCGGCGCAUGUGUGGGGAGCAGACGGGCAAGUACACCCUGGGCCACUGCACCAUCCGCUGGGCCUUUAUGCUGGCCAUCCUCAGCAUCGGUGACGCCCUCAUCCUCUCCUUCUUGGCCUUUGUGUUGGGCUACCGGCAAGACAAGCUCCUCCCUGAUGACUACAAGGCAGAUGGAAGCGAGGAAGUCUGAAGCAGCUGAAGGGUCGGUCGUCUAUUUCUCAGACAUGGAAAAUGGAAUCUAAUUCUUCAGAAAUAAGAAAUUGUUCCACCUAUGCUUUCUUGUCCCUGGUUACUACAGGCCUGAAGCCUGAAAUCACUUUUAUUAUAGGACUAAAACUGGACAGUCUCUUUAGACAAGACCUCCUUCUAUAUACGCUUUCAGGUGAAGCAGAACUCCAGUGACCCACACCAAAUACAUUCAGAGGCUAAGUGAUGUGGGGAGAGCUCAGCUAUUGGGGCUCCAAGUUCUCUUCUUAAGCCCCUCUUACAAGCAGAUCACUUUACGCUCUUUUUUUUUUUUUGAGACAGAGUCUCACUGUGUAACCCUCGGUAGAGUGCUAUGGCAUCACAGCUCACAGCAACCUCCAACUCUUGGGCUUAAGCGAUUCUCUUGCCUCAGCCUCCCGAGUAGUUGGGACUACAGGCACCUACCACAACGCCCGGCUACACUUUACCCCCUUGAGGCCUCUCCUCAGUAAAAUGGGAGGGCUAGAUGAAUCCAUCUCUAGCACUGCAUCUCCCAGGCUGUCUCUGACACCCAGAGAAAUGCCCAGUUGGCUGUAAAAGGGCUCCUGAAGAAGAGUUACUGGAAGUGUGUUGGAUCAUUUUAGGCUGAGGUUUAGGCAGUCCUCUGCUUCUCCCUCCUCAUGUUUUGUUUUCUUAUUGUUGGCCAUCAGAAUCUGGAUCCUUUAACAUCCAUCACAAAGUUUUAUAAAUAUUGGGUGAUAAGAGACUAAUUACUCUUUUUUUUUUUUAGACAGAAUCUCACUAUGUUGCCCUUGGUACAGUGCUGUGGUGUCACAGCUCACAGCAACCUCAAACUCUUGGGCUUAAGCGAUUCUCUUGCCUCAGCCUCCCAAGUAGCUGGGACUUGUGAGGGUGCCUACCACAAUGCCCGGCUGUUUUAUUGUUGCAAUUGUCAUUGUUGUUUAGCUGACCCGGGCUGGGCUCCAACCCGCCAGUCUCAGUGCAUGUGGCUGGCGCUGUAACCACUAUGUAUGGGAGCUGAGCCCAGGAGACUAAUUACUCCUGAGACUAAUUUGCCUACCCCCAGCACCCUUAGCCCCAGGAAUCAAAUAUCACAUUUCUUUGUGUUCACACUGACUCAACCAAAACUGGCUACUAGCUUUGGAUAAUUGUUACUUAUGUUCAAUAAUUUGCUACAGGAAUAGAUUAUAUUUUUCAUCAAAAAUUUUGGAUUUGGCAUACCUAUCCCUCAGUAUCUGUGGAAUAGGUUUGUUUCCAGGACCACCCUCAGGUGGCAAAAUCCACAGAUGCCCAAGUCCUUGAUACAAUAUGGUGUGGUAUUUGCAUAUAGCCUAUGCAGACUUAUUUUAUUUUAUUUUCAGAGCCUCAAGCUGUUGCCCUGGGUAGAGUGCUGUGGCAUCACAGCUCACAGCAACCUCUAACUCCUGGGCUUAAGCAAUUCUCUUGCCUUAGCCUCCCAAGUAGCUGGGACUAUAGGCGCCCACCACAAUGCCGGCUAUUUUUUGAUUGUAGUUGUCAUUGUUGUUUGGCAGGCCCAGGUUGGAUUUGAACCCGCCAGCUCUGGUGUAUGUAGCUAGUGCCUUAGUCGCUUGAGCUACAAGGCACCGAGCCAUCCCACAUAUUUUAAAUCCUCUCUAGAUUUCUUAUAAUACCAAAUACAAUGUAAAUGCUGCAAAAUAAGUUGUUAUACUGUAUCAUUUGGAUUUUUUAUUGUAAUUUUUUUCCUAGUAUUUUUCAUUUGUGGUUAAUUGAAUCUGUGGAUGUAAACUUGCAGCUAUGGAGGGCUGGCUGGCUCCAUAUAUGGUCAAUCUUCUGCCAGGUUCUAGAGAGGAACUCAGUAUAGGUAAUACUUUAUCACAGCAAAAGCCAAGAGGAAGAUAGAUUCUUCAGGGUGUUCCUUGACUGGAGGAUGGUGCAUAAAAAUAGAGUUUUGUUGAUUAUCUGCAAUCAAUGAUCCUGAGAAACAGGUUCUUUUUCUGGUCUCUUUCCAUUUACAGUUACUCAAUAAUAACCUGAGUGCACCAUACUAUUAGAGGCAGAGAGUAAAUGUUGAACAAAACUGCAAUGAAUCUUCUUGCUUGAUCAAGCAGCAAUGACAUGGGAAGGUUUUUAUCCCUGGCUGUUAGGUGUUUGGCCAAUGCACCUUGACCACAUGCCCAGUGUGCUGAUUUCUCUUAAGUUCAGAUAGGCUAGGAAUGAGUAUCCUAGCAUUGUUACAGUUAAAUUGUUUGUGGUGGGAACUAUUAAUGAGAUUUAACCUUGUCACUUAGUCCACAGCAGCUGUUUUACAAGGAUGAUCACAUUCGUAUUUUCUUUUUUUUUUUUUUUUUUAUUUUUAAUUUCAACUUCCUUGUUCAUUCUUCUUUGUUUGAAGUACUGUUUUUUAUCUUCCUCUGGCGGGUUCUUGAUGUUAGUAGAGACGGGGUCUUACUCUGGCUCACAUGCUGUUACAUACAGGUCUCGAACCUCUGAGCUCAGGCAAUCCACCCGCCUCGGCCUCCCACAGUGCUGGGACUACAGGCGUGAGCCACCACGCCCGGCCACAUUCGUAUUUUCUUUUGCUAAUAAAAUUACUUAUCAGGUAUCUUCUUUAUGCAAGCUUGAUCGGUGACAGAAUUUCACAAAUUCUGUAGCUUAAUGACUUUUAAACUAUAUUUAUUUAUUUAUUUCUCAUAAUUAAUUUUUUUAAAAAGGUACAAGAAAAGUUUCUAAAAGUCUCUCUACUCUCAAAACAUUUCUCACUGAAACAAAACUAUAGGGUCCACAGAAGCUCCUGGGGAUAGGAUGGGAUGUAAGGUACAUCUAUAGCACACACCUUGCUUUUGCCAGGAGCAGUGAGUUUCACCAAAGCAGGAGUUAAUGUUUACUAAUGACCAGCGUUGGGGAAGGACCCACAAAUCCGUAAAGGAGUCAAAUAACCAAGCAUUUUAGUUUUUGCUUUAUUUUCAAAGAAACUCAAUAUUCAACCUAAUAACAUUUUUUUUUUUUUUUGAGACAAAGUGUCACUACAUCACCCUUGUGAUGCUGUGGCAUCACAGCUUAUAACAACCUCAAACUCUUGGGCUUAGGUGAUUCUCUUGCUUCAGCCUCCCAAGUAGCUGGGACUACAGGUGCCUGCCACAACGCCUGUAGAGCAUUAAUAGAGAUGGGGUCUUGCUUUUGCUCAGGCUGGCCUCGAACUGGUGAGCUCAAGCAAUUCACCCGCCUUGGCCACCCAGAGUGCUAGGAUUACAGACGUGAGCCGGCUAGGAAGAUAUCUUAAAAAUGCUUUCAUUACUUUACAACACUAUCCAUUACCAUUGCCGCAUAACAAACUAGUUCAGAAGGCAAUGGCAUAAAACAACUUACGCAUCUGUUUCUGUGAAUUAGGAAUCCCUGGUAAUGAUAAAUGUCUUUGCCUCAAGGUUUCUCCUAAAGCUGCAAUUUUGUUGUAUUCAGUGGUUUGCAGGAUAAUUUCUCACAGGUUGCUGGCUAUUGGUCUCUUCAUAGAGCUACUUGUAUAGCAGCUUACUUCCCUAGAAAAAGGGCUCCAAAGCAAGACUGAGCAAGAGAGAGCGUACACACAGAAGCCACAGCCCCUUUGUAAAUUGUAAAAUUUACUGUCACAAAGGCCAGCCUACACUUGAGGCAAGUGCAUUACAUGAAUACCCAGAAGUGGAACCCUUUUAAUAGUUUUUUUUGGGUCAGGAAUGGUAGCUCAUGCUUGUAAUCCUAGCAAUCUGGGAGGCUGAGUUGCUUGAGGUCAGGAGUUUGAGACCAGCCAAACAAGGGACACUUGCACCCACAUAAAAAAUAGAAAAAUUAGCUGGAUGUGGUAGCACUUGCUGGUAAUUUGAGGGGCCAGUGAGCUAUGAUGAUGCCACUAUACUCUAGCCUGGAUUACAGCAAGACUGUCUCCAAAAAAAAAGUUGUUUGUUUUUGCCUGGGGGUGGUAACUACCUGCACUCUGGGAGGCCAGGAGUUUGAGAAAAGCCUGGGCAACAGCAAGACGCUGUCUCUAUAAAAAAUAGUGAAAACAAUUGGCUGCAAGUCCCUGCUACUUAGACAUGAGGAUCACUUGAGCACAGGAAUUAGAGGCUGCAGGGAGCUAUGAUCACACUACUGCACUCCAGCCUGGGCAGCAGAGUGAGACGGUCUCAAAAGUUCUUUUCUGGGCAGCGCCUGUGGCUCAAGGAGUAGGGCGCUGGCCCCAUAUACCAGGGGUGGUGGGAUUGAAUCAAGCCCUGGCCAAAAACUGCAAAAAAAAAAAUUGUUUUACGGUUAUAAUUAAUUUUCUGCUUAAAUGAGGACUGCAGCAUGCAAAAGAAUAAAGAUCUGAUUCUGACAGCUUUAUAUGCUGAUGGAUAUGUGUUCUAUACAUCGAUGAAGAUGAAAGCAGGACUCCAACCCUGAAAACUCAUCCCACUUUUGUUAUCCAUCCUCAGAGGAUUUAGGAUAGGGGUUUACACUAAAUUUAUUUCCAACACCAACCAUACUCCCUUCUCUACAGCUAGUGAAUCCAAGACCACCUGUGCUAACAAUGAUAUCUGAGUGGUACAAUUUAUAGGCAGUCUAGUUCUGUUAUGUUGGAAGGCAAGGCUUGUUAUUUUUAUGUUAAAACAGCCAAAAAUUAGAUCUGAAUUCUGGACAAAAAGGAGAGAUAAUAAAAACUUGGAAGAAUAUAAAAUCAAAGUGAACAUCUAUGUAUUAGAAACCUUUCUCCUUUGGCCUGGCGCAGUGGCUCACAUCUUUAAUCCUAGCACUCUGGGAAGCUGAGGUGGGUGGAUAGCUUGAGCUCACAGACCAGCAUGAGUAAGAGCCAGACUCUGUCUCUAAAAAUAGCUGGGCAUUGAGACAAGAGGAUCGCUUGAGCCCAAGAGUCUGAAGUGG